CGGCAACAGCUCAAAUUUGAAAUCUGGCCCUAGGGUCCGAGUUGUAAUUUGUAGAGGAUGCUUUUGGUGCGGUGCCUUCCGAGUGCCCUGGAACGGGACGCCAUAGAGGGUGAGAGCCCCGUCUGGUUGGAUGCCAAUCCUUUGUAAAGCUCCUUCGAC
rnacentral:rRNA from 1 species